GUCCAGACUCCUACGGGAGGCAGCAGUGGGGAAUAUUGCACAAUGGGGGAAACCCUGAUGCAGCGACGCCGCGUGAGUGAAGAAGUAUUUCGGUAUGUAAAGCUCUAUCAGCAGGGAAGAAAAUGACGGUACCUGACUAAGAAGCCCCGGCUAACUACAUGCCAGCAGCCGCGGUAAUACGUAGGGGGCAAGCGUUAUCCGGAUUUACUGGGUGUAAAGGGAGCGUAGACGGCAUGGCAAGUCAGAUGUGAAAGCCCGGGGCUCAACCCCGGGACUGCAUUUGAAACUGUCAGGCUGGAGUGCAGGAGAGGUAAGUGGAAUUCCUAGUGUAGCGGUGAAAUGCGUAGAUAUUAGGAGGAACACCAGUGGCGAAGGCGGCUUACUGGACUGUAACUGACGUUGAGGCUCGAAAGCGUGGGGAGCAAACAGGAUUAGAUACCCCUGUA
rnacentral:rRNA from 1 species